CAGAUUUCCAUCGGAGCAGACACCGCUACGCUUUUCUGUAACGAGUACGUGGAAAAGUACCAACAGCAGCGCUUGCUUGUGGCAGUGUGUAUUCGCUCCGGCGAGGUCUGACAUAGCCUUGCAGAGCACGGCUUCCUACGGGGAGUUGCGGUUCCGUAUGCUCAAGACAGAUGGCUGCAGGAUCAUGAGUCAAUCUCAGUGAGGCAGAGGCAGCCGCGGCUGGUGCGAUACCUUCACUGGUCUCACAGAGGCAAGAACCAAGCAUGCGUUCAGGCUUGAAAUGAGCUGGAUACUCAACUCGUCCACAGUGACUGCUGCGCCAUCCGACUCCUUCACGUGGCCUCGUCACCGACAAUGAAAGUACUUUACAGAGCUGAUAAAGGUCUCUGAUUCUCCUACCUCACCCGGCCAGGGAAGCGGGCAGACCAAGGGUAGUGACGGACCGAAUCUCUUCGGUCCUUCCUGCGUUUUGCAUGCACGAGUAAGGAAUGCACCGUCUGGUCCACAAACGCUCGUUCCAGUCCUCGCGAUGCGUCCUUCAGAGUACACGCAACCACUUAGGAAAUUGUACUUGUUGUCGUAGCCAAGAUUCCCUUCUCGAGCAAUCUCUGUUUUCUGGCAUGUCUAUGGAUACCUUAAGCUGCCGGAUGGGGUGUGGAAUCGCAGGCACCGACUCCACCGCUACUUCAUCACUGGUUUCGCUGUGCUUCCUGCCGAAUGAGGCAUUGUCAACAUACAUUAUUCAAGUGAAUGUGCCUGUUACCUUCGCCUUAAAAAACGCGU
rnacentral:lncRNA from 1 species